rnacentral:rRNA from 1 species
GUCGUGUUUGUAUAUAUAAAAGUGUACUUGUAUCAACUGCGUCCUUGAUGUCAUGUGUGUAUCGGUGUGUAUACCCGUGUUCCAUGAUGUGGUUCCAAGUCCAAUGUGCUCACUGUUGUGUUUGCUUUAAUGUGUUCGGUGAUUUGAUCAUGAGCGUCUAGUUGUCUUAUAAUGAUUUGGUGAAAUUAUGACCUGUUAAGUGGUUAAGAAUGUCCCGUAGCAUGUUAUAAAAACGUUCUUUUUCUCACUCUCUUCGUCGUCAAGCCCUAAGUCUCUUCAUGUCCUAGUCGUUGUUCAUUUCUUGUUGUCGUCCAACAAAAGAAGUCAUUUCCUUGUGGUCGUUCCUUUCCCUUAUCCUCGUCGCACCCCUAACCUCUUCUUCGUCGUCCAACUCCGUUGUUGUCGUUCCCCUACGUUCCUCUUCCUCGUCGUCCUCGCAACUCUCUUCUUCUUCUUCUCGUUGUCGUCCCAAUCCUCUUCUUCUUCUCUUCGUCUCCUUCACCUCUGCUCCCCUCCUCGUCGCCUCUCCCUCUCUCGUCGUCGUCCACCGCGCCCCUUGGUCUGUGGGCAGACCAGCCCGCGCGGUCCGCGCCGCUGCUUCACCUCGCGGGUUCCACUACCGCCGCUUCUGCCUCACCACCGACCUACUACACCACGACCACCCACUUCCGCGACCACCUCGUCGCUUCAGCGCCUCCGCGCGGCGGUGCUACCGGACCGGCGCUGCCGCCGGCUUCCACCCUCUUCUUCACCACUCCCCGUCUCUCUACCUCU